UACGGAGGGUGCGAGCGUUGUCCGGAAUCACUGGGCGUAAAGGGCGCGUAGGCGGCCUGAUAAGUAGGGGGUGAAAUCCUGCGGCUUAACCGCAGGGCUGCCUUCUAAACUGUCAGGCUAGAGCACAGUAGAGGCAGGUGGAAUUCCCGGUGUAGCGGUGAAAUGCGCAGAUAUCGGGAAGAACACCCGUGGCGAAGGCGGCUCUCUGGAACGCAACUGACGCUGAGACGCGAAAAGCGUGGGGAGCAAACAGG
rnacentral:rRNA from 1 species